rnacentral:lncRNA from 1 species
CUUGCUAUCCCAGGCUGACGACCUGGAACCCAUCCUAGAUCGAUGAAGAGAAAGAAGAAGAAACUCCAAAUGGCCAAUCAUCGCGCUCACGUCUUAAUAUCACUUUACCUAUACCUGGAACUGGUGUUGUAGUAAUCUGUGAGCCACAGGGGACUCAGCAAUCUCAUUUCCAAAGGUAUCAAGACUAGCAAGGCUUAAUGAGUGAGGUAUGGUUAAGUGGUGAGGCUGCAACAAGCGAAUAAGCAUUUAUAUGAGGUGGCUAACUUACGUGUACAGAAUAAGAGGGGGGAAGAUCUACGCAUAGCAGACGCGAACUACUGAUGAUCAAAUGAAUGAUCAUGAACACCUACUUACAUCAAACAUAACCCCAUUGUGUCCUCGAUCGGAGAAGGAGCUCAUGAAAGAGACGGUCACGGUUACACACUCAGUUGGCAUAUUUUAUUUAAGCUUACUUCAAAUUAUCUAGAACAAGAUGUUAAACAAAGUUUCUACGUUGCCACAUAACUGCGGGCAUGGCUUUCCGAAAGAUUUAACCCUGCAGGGGUGCUCCAGCUAGUCCAUCAUAAAUUACCACAAGCUGCAUAGAAAGCCUCAGUCACGAAACUCGUGACUUCGUCGGAUUCCUUAGUGGAAAACCUCAACUCUGAGAUUACCCAAAGUAUCACUGGAAUCCCGAUGCACAAGACAUUCGUCAAAGGUAAAACUAAUCCAGCAAGGCCACCCGGUGUGUCGACGAACCCGAUAGGAGCCGCGUAUCUCGUUCUCAGGACACAAUCGUCUAUGCAUAGUGGAUGAUAGCCAAACGCUCGAGUUGCCCCGAGGUGGCACCGCCGACUGCUAGGUAGGUGGACCAACACUCAUGAGGAGCACUGGCCCAGGGGUUGAUUAAAUUUGCUCGGGUUAAUUACUCCCUAUGUGGUUCAUUAGUUAUUAGGCAAAUGUAGUACCAAAGUUGGGCCUUGCUAGACGAGUUUUAUCCCAAAACAAAAAUCAAGGGGGUUCCCAUAACAACCCCGAUCGUGUUAGGAGCGCUCAAAUAUGGAAUAUAACACUGGUAGCCGGAACUAAGGGGCAAAGGUGUAACAAAACACCAGGUUAGAAAGGCCGAGCCUUCCACCUUUUACCAAGUAUAUAGGUGCAUUAAAUUAAUUAGCAAUUAAUAGGGUGAUAUGACAAGGAACCCAUGUUAUCACAUGGAAACAACUGGACCUGUAACUAGCAAUGCUAACAUAUACUUAAGCAAGCCGUAACAUAGCCAAUCAGUGGUUUGCUAGAUUGUGAACAGGUUGAAGGGUUCAUGGCAAUGUUGAGAGGAUGACAUUUAACACGUGGUAGGCAACGAGACAUAGCGAUAGAAACGAAACAACUAGCAUGGCAAUGAUAGUAAUGAUAUCUGGGGAAAUGGUUAUCUUGCCUGAGAUCCCUCUUGGAAGAAGAACAACUCCGUGAAGCCGACGAACCGACGUAGUCGAACGGGUCCUCACAUUCCGACACGCUUGCGGAACUCCAUCGAGACGGGGCAAACCGGCA